rnacentral:rRNA from 1 species
UAGGGAAUCUUCGGCAAUGGACGAAAGUCUGACCGAGCAACGCCGCGCGAGUGAAGAAGGUUUUCGGAUCGUAAAACUCUGUUGUUAGAGAAGAACAAGGACGUUAGUAACUGAACGUCCCCUGACGGUAUCUAACCAGAAAGCCACGGCUAACUACGUGCCAGCAGCCGCGGUAAUACGUAGGUGGCCAGCGUUGUCCGGAUUUAUUGGGCGUAAAGCGAGCGCAGGCGGUUUCUUAAGUCUGAUGUGAAAGCCCCCGGCUCAACCGGGGAGGGUCAUUGGAAACUGGGAGACUUGAGUGCAGAAGAGGAGAGUGGAAUUCCAUGUGUAGCGGUGAAAUGCGUAGAUAUAUGGAGGAACACCAGUGGCGAAGGCGGCUCUCUGGUCUGUAGCUGACGCUGAGGCUCGAAAGCGUGGGGAGCAAACAGG